rnacentral:tRNA from 1 species
GCCUUGGUGGUGGAAUUGGUAGACACGCGGGACUUAAAAUCCCGUGAUCAUUGUGAUCAUGCGGGUUCAAGUCCCGCCCGAGGUA